CCAGCUCCAAUAGCGUAUAUUAAAGUUGUUGCAGUUAAAAAGCUCGUAGUUGGAUUUCGGAAGGUCCUUAGUAGUCCGCCCCUUCGGGGAGCGGGCUACUGGCCUCCUAUGUUCCUAACGGUCCUCAUCCGCGAGGGUGGGGAAUCAACCGCUAGGAUCGUUUACUUUGAGGAAAUUAGAGUGUUCAAAGCAGGCGUAACUCGCCUCCGAAUACGUUAGCAUGGGAUAAUGGAAUACGACUUCGGUCUUGUUUCGUUGGUUUCGCUUGGCUGAAGUAAUGAUUGAUAGGGACAGUUGGGGGCAUUAGUAUUUAGUUGUCAGAGGUGAAAUUCUAGGAUUUACUAAAGACUGACCAAUGCGAAAGCAUUUGCCAAGGAUGUUUUCA
rnacentral:rRNA from 1 species